rnacentral:sRNA from 1 species
GCUGGGUGCAGUGGUGCAUACCUAUAAUCCCAGCCACUAGGGAGGCUGAGGCAGGAGGGUCGCAAGUUUAAGGACAGCCUGGGCAAUUUAGAGAGAUUCUGUCUCAA